rnacentral:lncRNA from 1 species
CAGGCCAGAAAGGAAUUUUCUCCUUUUCUUUGCUUUUUUUCCUUUGUUUUUUUUUAUGUGUGUUUGUGUUUAGGGGAGAGGGGUUUGUUUUUCUUGUGGCAAUAGCCGACUUUGGAAAAGGCCCUCUAAAGGCACAGCGGUGACCUAUUGCCACUCGGAAAUACCAAGAAAGGACCAUACCUGUGAGGAUAACUGGAAACGUAUUAGAAGGUGGUUGACCGUUUCUCCAUGUAUGCACAUGAUAUAGCAGUUUGAAAGCAGGAUGCCUCUAUUUUUAUUGCGUCAGACGGUCAAAGGAUUGUUGGAUUCAGCAAGCCAAUUUAAUGCGUGCAACUUUGACAACGCAGGGAUGGACCAGACUCUUCGGACAAUUAAUGGUUCACGAGCCAGUGCUGUGAAGUGAGGACUCUUUAGGAGGAGGAUACAGAGAAGGCACCUGCUGAGGUGGGGCACCAAAUAAUCUCAGCUGCCUCUAAAGGGGAUGAAGUGGCUUCUUAGAGCCUCCAAAUUCACCUCUUCAUCAUCCCAAUUAUGACAAAAGAGAGGAGCUCAAACUUGUUAUGUCCCCCUCCCAUGCCCGCAGAGCGCCCCCCAGCACCCUACAAAAACUGUUCCACACCAUGUGCAACACGGGUUACAUAGAAAGUGGACCUCCAAGUCUGUUGGUUAAGCUACCAGCUCUCAAAAAUCUGGUUUCUUCACCUGACUUGGCAAUGAAAUGAACAUGGUAUGAGUAGAGGAAUGGCGAAGAAAAUUGAUACCCUUCCAUGAGCCUGAUGUUCGAGACGUAGAUGGUCUUCUAGGAAACCUUCAUGAAGGUUCCGUUGCAUAACUAUGGUUGGAUGAUGGAUAAGCCAAAUGUGGUCAAGGUGCACUGUGAACCACCACCAUUUCCCUAGCUUGAUACACUCUUUACCUCCUGAUCCCCUGACCAAAUGGCUCCUUGAGUUAGCAAGCCUUUUAC